rnacentral:rRNA from 1 species
GACGAACGCUGGCGGCGCGCUUAACACAUGCAAGUCGAGCGAGAACCAGACCUUCGGGUCUGGGGACAGCGGCGAACGGGUGAGUAACACGUGGGUAAUCAACCCUCGGUACUGGGAUAGCCCGGGGAAACCCGGAUUAAUACCGGAUGGCCCUUCGGAUCUUCGGUUCUGAAGGAAAAGGUAGCUUCGGCCUCCGACCGAGGACGAGCCCGCGGCGGAUUAGCUUGUUGGUGGGGUAACGGCCUACCAAGGCGGCGAUCCGUAGCUGGUCUGAGAGGACGAUCAGCCACACUGGGACUGAGACACGGCCCAGACUUCUACGGAAGGCAGCAGUGGGGAAUCUUGCGCUAAUGCGGGAAACCGUGACGCAGCGACGCCGCGUGAGGGAAGAAGGCCUUCGGGUUGUAAACCUCUUUCAGAAGGGACGAAGCUACUCGGGUUAAUAGCCCAGAGGGUGACGGUACCUUCAGAAGAAGCCCCGGCUAACUACGUGCCAGCAGCCGCGGUAAGAC